UACGGAGGGUGCAAACGUUGCUCGGAAUCAUUGGGCGUAAAGCGCACGUAGGCGGCUUGUUAAGUCGGGUGUGAAAUCCCUGGGCUCAAUCCAGGAAGUGCACUCGAAACUGGCGAGCUUGAAUAUGGAAGAGGGUCGCGGAAUUCCCGGUGUAGAGGUGAAAUUCGUAGAUAUCGGGAGGAACACCAGUGGCGAAGGCGGCGACCUGGGCCAAUAUUGACGCUGAGGUGCGAAAGCGUGGGGAGCAAACGGG
rnacentral:rRNA from 1 species